rnacentral:rRNA from 1 species
UACGUAGGGGGCAAGCGUUGUCCGGAAUCAUUGGGCGUAAAGAGCGUGUAGGCGGCUCGGUAAGUCCGCUGUAAAAGUCCAGGGCUCAACCCUGGAAAGCCGGUGGAAACUGUCGAGCUAGAGUCCGGAAGAGGCGAGUGGAAUUCCUGGUGUAGCGGUGAAAUGCGCAGAUAUCAGGAGGAACACCGAUGGCGAAGGCAGCUCGCUGGGACGGUACUGACGCUGAGACGCGAAAGCGUGGGGAGCAAACAGG